AGAACCUUUUAAAAUGGCGCCUCUGCUUUCAAAUUAAAGUACCCAUCCAAUUUUGCUACGCAUCCAGCAACAGUGUUGAUACAAGUUGAACCUUGAAACCCUAGAAAUUUUUGAGAGAGACAGAGUGUUUGUGAGAGAGAGAAGAGGAUGAUUUUUAGAACUCCACCGCCGAAGAGACCUAGAGACGAUGCCAAAGCCAUCGAGAGCUCGCCGGUCGGUUCUGAUCGCCGGCUUGUUAUUUACGAAGACCCUGUGGUUCAAUUGCCUGAAUCCUCUCAUGAACCUCAACCGUCUGAUCACAUGCUCUGCACCUACCAAUGCCGCCAAAUGGUUAAAUCAGAUUUUCUGGAUGCCUUGAGCAAUGCGGAGAAGCAAGUUUGUGAUUAUAAAUCUAAAUUGGAGACUUUAAAUGAGAACUUCUGCAAAGCUGAAGCAGAAAGGAAGAAAUUUCGAGAUCAAUUCCUAUAUGCUGAACAAGAACUUGCUGCUGCCAAAGGACGUGAACAGGCACUGCAACAGCAACUUUUAAUGGAGAUCAAUGAUUCCCAGGAGAGGUUGAAGAAACAAUUAGAAUUGUGCAGUAAACUUGAGAUAAAGCUGGAAAAUGAGAGAAACCUUCGGAAAAAAGCUGAAUCCUCAGCAACUUCUGCAGAAGAGAAAGCAAGUGUUUUGGAGGGAAAGCUUUCCCAUCUUUCUGAAAGCAUAGACAGAGAGAAAAAGUGCCUCAAUAAUGAGCUUGCACAGCUGCGAGGAGAUUCAGAACUUACUGUUUCCAGGAUAACUGCAGAUCUUGAAAGAAUGGAAUUCAGAGCUAAAAAUGCUGGGAAGGAAUCAGAGCUACUGAAGGAGCAGCUAGAAGAUCUAAAAUUGCAACUAAGUGAGUGCUUUCACCAGAAGAGUGAACUAGAGAAGAAAUUAUCGAGUUUAACGAUUCAAGGAGUUGCUUCUACGGAGAGCAAUAUUUUGGUUAAACAUCUCCAAGAAGAGCUUAGGAAUUACGAGUCUGAAGUGAGAGAAGCAAGAAAAUUGAAAUCGUCUUAUGAGAACAUUGAGUUAUUAAAGGAGAAAUUAUUGGAAGAAAAGAGCCGCAAAGAGACGGCAGAGUCAGAGUUAUCCAAGUUACGAGAGUGUGAGCUAAAUAUGAGGAAGUUGGAGGACGAGUUGUCUUCUUGGAAGUUGAUGAUAAAAGACAUCCCUGAUGUGUCAUGCUGUGACGAUAUACCUCUUAAGUUUUCAGCUUUACAGAAAGAGGUGAUUGAUAACAUGAUUAAGGUGGGUGAGGCAAAUGCGCGAUUGAAACAAAUGGAGGUGGCUCUGGAUGCUGCCCAACUUGGCAAACAAAAUGCUGAAACUGAGACUGCAUUGGCUAAAGAGAAGGCAGAAGGCUUGAAAUUGGAGGUCAAUCAGAUUGAAUUGAUGCUUUCUGCGGUUACUGAAGAGAGAGAUAGGUUGAAAAAUAUUGUUGAUGAAUUGAGGAGGUCAAAGAAUGAACAAGCAGGGGAUGGAGCAGCUUCUGGAAGUCUUCUUCAGGAACUUGAAUCAUCUCUUAUGAAGAGGGAUUGUUUAAUUAAAGAAUUGGAGCGUAAUUUACAUGAAAAAAAAGAAGUUAAUAAUCGACAACUUGAUGAAAUAAAGUUGCUCAAUGACAGGCUGAAUAAUGAAGCUAGGAGAAUCAAAUCGCUGGAAAGGGAGAGUGACCGGCUUCGUUCAGAGAUUUCUCUAUUGGAGUCCAAGCUAGGUCAUGGUGACUAUUCUGCCACAAACACAAAAGUAUUGAGAAUGGUGAAUACUCUUGCAGUUGAUAAUGAUGCCAAACAAACUAUAGAGGCUUUGCGUACUGAGUUGCAGAAGACAAAGGAGAAGUUACAAGCUGUUGAAGAAUUAAAGAGUCAGUCAGGCGAUGCUGGAAAGCUGGUGGAUUCCUAUAUAUCUGGGAAAAUGACACAGUUAAAAGAACAAAUUGCAACUCUUGAAAAACGUGAAGAAAGAUACAAGACUGUUUUUGCUGAUAGAAUUUCAGUGUUUAGGAGGGCAUGUUGCGAAUUGUUUGGUUACAAGAUUGUAAUGGAUGAACACCAGCGGUCGAAUGGAAUUCCGGUUACUCAUUUUACCCUUCAGUCUAUCUAUGCGCAAAAUGAUGAUGAGAAGCUUGAAUUUGAAUAUGAAUCAGGAAAUACAAACAUUUUGGCGAAUGCUUACACCUCUCAGUCUGAGAUAUCUCGUCAGGUUGAUAUAUUUAUUCAUAAGAUGAAUUCUAUCCCAGCGUUCACAGCCAACUUGACAGUGGAGUCUUUCAACAGAAGAACUCUAUCUUGAUACAAAUCAAAAUACCAAGAUUUCCCCAGAUGCUCCUGAUUUCUCGUAUGUUGAAAAUCACUAUAGCAUUAUCGUCUGCUUUUGACAAAGAAAAUGUGAUGCUUUGGAGGCAUCCAUGCUACAUCGAGUGAGAACAGUUGGCAGGCAAGGAGUUUGUUAGUGCAUGAGUAAAGAAAGAUGGGAUGAUGGGAAAGAAUAGAUGGGCUUGAAAAGAUGGUUAAAAAAGCAUAUUAUAGUGCCGCUUUCUUCGCAGUGGUGAUGGAUUUUUGAGCGCUCUAAAGAUUUAAUCCCUAAUUUUUGACUAAAUUGAAAGCUCUCAACUUUCAGUGGCUACUAGCUAAUGAAGGAUGUGCUUGUGCUGACUUUGCUAAUGAUGAUGAUGGUCAUUGCUAAUUUGUUGAGUGGUUAUGUAAGGUUUUGGCAAUGGUGAUAAUCUCUUUUAAGAAAUUUGAGAAAACCCUAAUGUCACUAUCAAAUGUCAAUCACUUGAAUGCUAUGAAUCUGAUGAUCCUGUUUUCUA